rnacentral:rRNA from 1 species
AGUAAAAGUCGUAACAAGGUUUCCGUAGGUGAACCUGCGGAAGGAUCAUUAAUAGAGCAAAAGGCAGGCAGCGCCCUGGAGGAGCUUGCUCCCCAGGGGCUACCCUACUCCGGUAGGGUUUAGAGCCGUCGAACCGCUCAGAGAAGUUCGGUCUUGAACUCCACCCUUGAAUAUAUUACCUUUGUUGCUUUGGCAGGCCGCCUAGUGCCAGCGGCUUCGGCUGUUGAGUGCCUGCCAGAGGAUCACAACUCUUGUUCUUAGUGAUGUCUGAGUACUAUAUAAUAGUUAAAACUUUCAACAACGGAUCUCUUGGUUCUGGCAUCGAUGAAGAACGCAGCGAAAUGCGAUAAGUAAUGUGAAUUGCAGAAUUCAGUGAAUCAUCGAAUCUUUGAACGCACAUUGCGCCCUCUGGUAUUCCGGGGGGCAUGCCUGUUCGAGCGUCAUUAUAACCACUCAAGCUCACGCUUGGUAUUGGGGUUCGCGGUUCCGCGGCCCCUAAAAUCAGUGGCGGUGCCUGUCGGCUCUACGCGUAGUAAUACUCCUCGCGUCUGGGUCCGGUAGGUCUACUUGCCAGCAACCCCCAAUUUUUUACAGGUUGACCUCGGAUCAGGUAGGGAUACCCGCUGAAC